ensembl:lincRNA 1700084F23Rik RIKEN cDNA 1700084F23 gene
GAUCUCAGAAUGAGCUGAAGAUCAGUGUCCCAAGUGUGACAGGGUAAACUCCCAAGAAGGUCCAUUGAGAGCCUCAAACCAUGUGUCUCCCGGGAAGUGACCUGAGCAGAAGAAAGAGCCCAGAUAAAAGAAGGGGAAGAGAAACACAGAAGAGCUCCUCACAGGACCACAUCAUGGGAGCUGAGCUUCCUCAGAGCCUUGCUGCUUCUAAGAUCCAGGUAAUAUCUUACCUUCCAGCCCAUGGAGGAAGGCCCAGCAAUGACAGAGCCCUAUGAGAAAAGAGUGCCAGUUGUAAAAGGUCUUAAUGUGCUGGAAGUCUGCCAUCCUCACCCUGAGAUCAGGGACCACCUGGACAGCAGCCUUUGCUGUGUGCAACCCCAGCCUGGUUCUCUGUGUCUUAUCUUCUGUUGCAGCCUCCAGACCUCGAGAGAGAAUUCAUUUGCUUCCAACCUGCCUCCCCCUGAGCAUCGACACUGCAUUGAACCCGGAGGGAGGGAAUCUCCCAAAGGCUGUCAUCUGCGUAGCCCCUGUGCUCACCCUGGCCUACCCUUUCAUGACCUCCUCAAAAUGAGUUCUGUGUGUUUGUCCAGAAAAGAUUACAGCUCUGAGGGUGCAUCCAGGAAUUGGCUGGCACAGAGCUCCUGAUGGUCCUUCCCAGGACUUCACUUAGCAAGGUUCCCGUUGCUAAGCAACAGAAGUGCUGGAACUGGCAUCAGUCAUCUGUCAUCGAGGAGCCCAGGUCAUAUGC